CCUACGGGAGGCAGCAGUGAGGAAUAUUGGUCAAUGGUCGGGAGACUGAACCAGCCAAGCCGCGUGAGGGAUGAAGGUACAGAGUAUCGUAAACCUCUUUUGUCAGGGAACAAAGGCGGGGACGUGUCCCCGGCUGAGUGUACCUGAAGAAAAAGCAUCGGCUAACUCCGUGCCAGCAGCCGCGGUAAUCCGGAGGAUGCGAGCGUUAUCCGGAUUUAUUGGGUGUAAAGGGUGCGCAGGCGGUCUGUUAAGUCAGCGGUCAAAGCCCGGGGCUCAACCCCGGCCCGCCGUUGAAACUGGCAGUCUCGAGUGGGAGAGCAGUAGGCGGAAUGCGCGGUGUAGCGGUGAAAUGCAUAGAUAUCGCGCAGAACUCCGAUUGCGAAGGCAGCAUGCCGGCUCCACACUGACGCUGAGGCACGAAAGCGUGGGUAUCGAACAGGAUUAGAUACCCUGGUAGUC
rnacentral:rRNA from 1 species